UAAGUGAUUUUGAUGACACUAUUG
rnacentral:miRNA from 1 species